GGAAGGCAUGGUAGUGCAGGCAUGUAGUCCCAAAUAUGAAGCAGGAGAUUGCUUGAGUCCGGGAGUUCUGGGUUGUUGUGCACUAUGCCCAUCAGGUUUCUGCACUAAGUUCAGCAUCAGUAUGGUGACCUUCUGGCAAUUGGAGACUACCAGGUUGCCUAAGGAGGAAUGAAAUGGCCCAGGUUGGAAAUGAGCAAGUCAAAAUCCCAUGCUGAUCAGCAGUAGUAUUGCACCUGUGAAUAGUCAACUGCAUUUCAGCCUGGGCUGCAUAGCAAGACCCU
rnacentral:SRP_RNA from 1 species